CAGCUCUAGACACAAAGCCAAUGGGACUCCCAGACAGCAGAAAUGGGGCCUCGAGAUCCACUCCCACCCCCGACCCCAUCAGACACACUCAGGUGCAGAGGGAGGGAUGCAUCAAAGAAUGGCAGGAAUCGGGCCACUCCCACAAACCCCAGGAAAAACCCUAGGUGUGGCCUACCUAGGGUCCCCACCUCACACUUGAGAUCCCAGAGCUCUGCAGACCUGACAUAUGUUCCUCUUCCCACUCUUGAGAUAGGACGGCACCCUACUCCUGGACCCCUAGGACACCCAGGUACCACAUCCCUGCCAGGGAUGCCCAGAUAUACUAACUACACAGUGCCUCCGCCCUGCCGAUGCGCGUGCCCAGACACACAGGAACCUGCCUCCACACUCGAAACACUGCUACACACACACACACACACACACACGGAGACCUACAGACAUGCUGCAAAAGAGGGCUGAGCCACCCAGACACAUGGCCUUUCAAGUCCGAGACGUUCCAGUAACGCUGCCGUGAACCAUGCCUGCACGCCUACCGGUGACACUGAGGUUCACGGCCUCUGAGAUACACUGCCCCACGUGUCGGAGACAUCAAGGUCCACAGAAACACACAGCACACAAGACGACCAGGGCCCGUGCGCACACAUUCCUCAACUAUGCGGGCAUACGGCCCCUCAGCUCCGAGAUGCCCAGGCUCACCGCCUGGUCGGCACCCGAGACAGCCACGCCUGAAAUCACUGGGUAUUUGUGACCGGCGGUCAGGUGCAGGCUGAGCUAAGCUCGGGCACUGCCCACUGUUGCCGGGUGCACAGUCCCUUCCACACCCACCUGCGCUCAGCUGCAGGAGCCCUGCCCGCACACCUGAGUCACUCAAUCCGACCGGGCUUCCAGGCAACUCCCCCAGUCUGAGCUAACCAAGGCCGGGAGCUGUGGGCGCUGCCUGCACCGCGCUCUCCCUUACACGCACCUGGACGCCCCCCUCCACCUUUAGUUAAACCCUGACGAAGGGCUGAACUAGGGACCGGGCGCACGGAGAGGCGAGGAGGGAGGAGGCCGGGACCCAGGGAGACCGCCAGCAAGGGGUCCCAGAGAGGAAGUCACCAGUCUCAGGACGUCUGGUGUGUCUCCUUCUGUCCCAAGGAAGGAUGUGCAAGCUGUCCCCAAAGUCCCUUGGGGGGAACACACCCCCCAUCCUGAAAGAGAGCACAAGCAGGGGGAGUGGCAGGCAGAGGGAGAAGGAGCAGCAGGCUCCCCGACCAGCAAGGAGCCCAAUGCAGGACUUGACCCCGGACCCUGAGAUCGUGACCCUGACCGGACGGCAGACGCUUCACCAACUGAGCCACCCAGGCACCCCUAGAGGGAAGGUUUCUAAGGAAACACCACCAAUCUGAUGUAACAGGUGCCACAAGAGAGACACGUCUAGGGAAGGGACACUCUGCUCUGCUUGAGGAGCUCCGAGCAGGCUUCUCGGAAGAGGUGAUGUUGGAGGCAAGGGCAUUCGGGUAUGCAGACGAGCCCAGGCAAAGGCAAGAAGCCGGGCGCAAACAAAGGGUUUGGGCAACUACCAGUGAUGCAGUGUGGCUCUGGGGUGGGCAGAGCUGCGGAGAUGCAGAACCCCAGGGGACCAGACUGCAGAGGACACUCACUGCUGAGAAGUACACACAUGCAUGAGAGCCAGGGACAGUCCAUCAGACGCUUAGCGCUGCCGUUAACCUUGAGGGAGAUGCCAAAGAGG